rnacentral:rRNA from 1 species
CCUACGGUGGGCAGCAGUCGAGAAUCAUUCACAAUGGGGGAAACCCUGAUGGUGCGACGCCGCGUGGGGGAAUGAAGGUCUUCGGAUUGUAAACCCCUGUCAUGUGGGAGCAAAUUAAAAAGAUAGUACCACAAGAGGAAGAGACGGAGAACUCUGUGCCAGCAGCCGCGGUAAUACAGAGGUCUCAAGCGUUGUUCGGAAUCACUGGGCGUAAAGCGUGCGUAGGCUGUUUCGUAAGGCGUGUGUGAAAGGCGCGGGCUCAACCCGCGGACGGAACAUGAUACUGCGAGACUAGAGUAAUGGAGGGGGAACCGGAAUUCUCGGUGUAGCAGUGAAAUGCGUAGAUAUCGAGAGGAACACUCGUGGCGAAGGCGGGUUCCUGGACAUUAACUGACGCUGAGGCACGAAGGCCAGGGGAGCGAAAGGGAUUAGAUACCCCAGUAGUC